UGCUCGAGACCGGCCACGACAUUCUGUUCUUCUGGGUGGCUCGGAUGGUGAUGCUGGGGCUGGCCCUGACGGGGAAGCUGCCCUUCCGUGAGGUUUACCUCCACGCCAUCGUCCGCGACGCCCACGGGCGCAAAAUGAGCAAAUCCCUGGGGAACGUCAUCGACCCCCUGGACGUGAUCACGGGGGUGACGCUGCAGGAGCUGCACCUGCAGCUCGAGAGCAGCAACCUGGACCCGGCGGAGCUGGAGCGGGCCCGGGAGGGACAGG